rnacentral:lncRNA from 1 species
GGUUAGGACGUUUGGCUUGUGAUAUUUCGGUGGCGGACACCCAACGUCUUAUCCUUCACUUAAACUUAAUCCUGCAGACCCAGCACCGGGGCAGGUUAGCCUUUUCUUCUCCAAGCUCACCCGCCCUCGCCCCUAUAAACUACCAAUGGACAUCCUCUGUGUUGGUCACUGGGAAGCACUGAAGGCUCGAAGGUGAUCUUUGAAAUAGCAUGGAGGAUUGCAACGCGUGGACUGCACAGCCUCUCUCUUCUGACGACAUGCCCAGCUGUAUCACAGAGGAGAGUGUUAAGUCAGAACGGCGAUCUCCAUGACGACGGAGGGGAGCGGCUACCAAAAUGACCUUCCAAAGGACGGCCACCUCUGAAUGCUGUGAUACAGUGGUAACAUGGGAAAAUAAAGUCUAGCUAUUAGGAAUGAACUCUGUGAGGAGAAAGGAACCUUUAUUUAGGAAUUGUGUGAGAGAAAAGAGAGGUACAAGGAAAAUACAUUUCGAAGAUCUAACGACCACCACUUAUCUUAUCUCAAGACAAUAUUCAACUCUGUCAAAAUCCUAACAGUAAAGGAAAAAGAAUCAUUUUGUAGAAAUCUUCAUUCCUGUAUAUAAUCUGUAUGAAUGAGAUACAUUAGUGGGACACCGAUAGCUAACAUUGGAAGCAAUGUUGCAAUGGCUUGGAUGCAGAUCUUCACUACACACUUGAAAGCCGGCUUGGUAACUAGAAUACUGCCCUCAGAGCACCCAUGUAGUUUGUUUAAUUGCACCCAUAGAAGUUCUGUAGGAUGAGGCAGCUGGUCUUACAGAAUGCUCACCCACCCUCCUCAUAACCUUUCCCUCGGCUGCCAACCAUCAUCUUGUGUUUGGUAAGAGUCGGAAAAUGAGGAAGACCAUUGGGAAGACAUGAACCUUUGCUGUCACCCGUCUAAUAGCUGCUGGCCACCUCUGGACGGUUGAGGGAGGCCAACGCCUAUUUGCUAAGGUGCUGAUUGAGACUCUGGAACACCAGUCUCUUCCCUUAAUAUAAAACCAACUUGGAGCCAAGUCAUUUAAGACCUUUUGAAAACUGACUCUAAAAUAGCGUGUGAUAUCUUGAGGAAGAAAAUAAACCAUGAUUUAGUAAAUGAGAUGAUGCACGGGGAAAGGGCAGCCUUAUAUGGUGUUCUUACAGAGAGAGAGAGGGCAUGGUUGGUAAAGCAAGGCCAGAAAAAAAAAAAACCCCUUGGCACAUCCACAGUCCCAGCUGGAAAUGGACAUCUCCGUGUCUGCAGCCCAGUGAGUGCCACCACCAGGUCUGACGAAUGGGUGGAGGCCUCCUCACUGAACUUGAGAAAUGGACGGCCUACUAAGCAAUGAUGCUCUUGGGGGAAUGACGGUGUCAUUUCUUUCUUCUUUAUAAAAUACUUACUAAUAA